GUCUCUAUUGACAGGAGCGACGGUUAGCACUCCCCUUGACAAGGAUGGAUGGUAUUCGGUCAGUCUGGACAUGAUUUGGUGAUGUUUAUUACGAAUCGGCAUUUUUA